GCAAUCACUGAUGUUUGUCUCUCCUGAAAAUUAGAGACAAUGAAAUGUUGAAGAUAUCAACUAAUUAUUUGUGAUGUGAACUUCCAUUCUGAGUACAAGUAAUUGCAACACAGAAAUAGCUCAGGUGGUUGGGUGAUAGGCUUUGGUUUAAGAUUAUAGCUUCGAGCUGUAGUGCUCUCCAUUUGUGACUCGCACACGCUCAGAAGCGUGAUUGUUUCAAUCCUUUGUCAUACAAUAAAAGUCACAAAGUGUACAGCUAACUGUUAAUUUGAAUCCUGAAUCAUGCAAAAUUUUUUGUGAUCAUUUCAAUAGAUUCCU
rnacentral:misc_RNA from 1 species